rnacentral:rRNA from 1 species
AUGUUUACACCAGGGUCUUGUGAAGCAGUUAAGGCAGAAUACAGCGUCAUAGGAGGUUUCUUUGGGUCGAUGGAAAAUGUUCCGUUCAUGAAGAGGUCUCUGCGUAAUUUGUGUGGUAAGACAAAUAGGGACCAGGCAGAUGAGGAUGUAAAGAAGACGAUGGAUGUGUUUGCGGAGAUUGGAGCUAAAGAUCCACACUUCACAUACAGGGUUCAAGCUGACAGUGAGGGUAGGGUCAAGAAUCUGAUGUGGGCAACUGGUAGCAGCAGGCUGCAGUACAACUUCUUUGGCGAUGUCAUAACAUUCGACAUGACUUACAGGACGAACUUGUAUGACAUGCCUUUCGGCCUUUUUGUUGGCGUGAACAAUCACUUUCAAAGUGUGAUUUUGGCUGCUGUUCUUGUUUGCGAUGAGACCCAAGAGAGUUUGGAGUGGGUUUUUUCAGAAUUCCUAAGAAUGAUGGGUGGUUCUCCACCCAUGACCAUACUUAAAGACCAAAACCGUGCCAUGGAGCUCGCCAUCAGUAAGAUUAUGCUCGGGACAACACACAGAUGGUGCAAAUGGCACUUUUUGAAGAAGGCAAAGGAGCUGUUGGCUCCUCUGUAUACAAAGAAAAGUGACUUGUGGUGGCUAGCAUGCGUGUUUACCAAAAUAGAGACGCCUGAACUUAUCGGGAGAGAUAAUCUUAGUACAAAAAUUCAUAGAUAA